rnacentral:tRNA from 1 species
GCCCGGUUAGCUCAAUCGGUAGAGCGUGAGACUCUUAAUCAAGUUUCACUUGACAUCUCAAGGUUGCGGGUUCGACCCCCGCAUUGGGCU